GCCGCUUGGUUAUUGGUUGGCUC
rnacentral:siRNA from 1 species